rnacentral:rRNA from 1 species
GUGGGGAAUCUUGCGCAAUGGGCGAAAGCCUGACGCAGCCAUGCCGCGUGAAUGAUGAAGGUCUUAGGAUUGUAAAAUUCUUUCACCGGGGACGAUAAUGACGGUACCCGGAGAAGAAGCCCCGGCUAACUUCGUGCCAGCAGCCGCGGUAAUACGAAGGGGGCUAGCGUUGCUCGGAAUUACUGGGCGUAAAGGGCGCGUAGGCGGACAGUUUAGUCAGAGGUGAAAGCCCAGGGCUCAACCUUGGAAUUGCCUUUGAUACUGGCUGUCUUGAGUACGGGAGGGGUGAGUGGAACUCCGAGUGUAGAGGUGAAAUUCGUAGAUAUUCGGAAGAACACCAGUGGCGAAGGCGACUCACUGGCCCGUUACUGACGCUGAGGCGCGAAAGCGUGGGGAGCAAACAGGAUUAGAUACCCGUGUAGUCC